GAUGAACGCUGGCGGCGUGCUUAACACAUGCAAGUCGAACGGAAAGGCGCUGCUUUUGUGGGUUGCUCGAGUGGGGCGGGGGUGUGUAACACGUGAGUAUCAUGUCCUUGACUUUGGGAUAAAGUCAGGAAACUGCGGCUAAUACCGGAUAGGAGCUCCUGAAGCAUGGGGGGGGUUGGAAAGUUUCGGCCGUUGGGGAUGGACUCGCGGGUUAUCAGCUUGUUUGUGGGGUAGUGGCUUACCGAGGCUUUGACGGGUAGCCGGCCUGGGCGGGUGACCGGCCACAUUGGGACUGAGGUAAGGCACAGACGGCUACGGUGGGCAACAGGGGGGAAGAUUGCCCAAGGAGCGGAGGGCUAGUGCAGAAACUCCGCGGGUGGGAACACGCCCUUCGUGGUGUAAAACGCUUGCGCCUGUGACGAAGCGCGAGUGACGGUAACGGAAAAAGAAGCACCGGCUAACUACGUG
rnacentral:rRNA from 1 species